AGUCAACCUAACCUAUGGACGGGAAUAACCUCGGGAAACUGAGAAUAAUGCCCGAUAGAACAUUAUGCCUGGAAUGGUUUAUGUUCCAAAUGAUUUAUCGCCGUAGGAUGGGACUGCGGCCUAUCAGUUUGUUGGUGAGGUAAUGGCCCACCAAGACUAUUACAGGUACGGGCUCUGAGAGGAGUAGCCCGGAGAUGGGUACUGAGACACGGACCCAGGCCCUAUGGGGCGCAGCAGGCGAGAAAACUUUGCAAUGUGCGAAAGCACGACAAGGUUAAUCCGAGUGGUUUCUGCUAAAGAAACCUUUUGUCAGUCCUACAAACACUGAUGAAUAAGGGGUGGGCAAGUUCUGGUGUCAGCCGCCGCGGUAAAACCAGCACCUCAAGUGGUCAGGAUGAUUAUUGGGCCUAAAGCAUCCGUAGCCGGCUCUGUAAGUUUUCGGUUAAAUCUGUACGCUCAACGUACAGGCUGCCGGGAAUACUGCACAGCUAGGGAGUGGGAGAGGUAGACGGUACUCGGUAGGAAGGGGUAAAAUCCUUUGAUCUAUUGAUGACCACCUGUGGCGAAGGCGGUCUACCAGAACACGUCCGACGGUGAGGGAUGAAAGCUGGGGGAGCAAACCGGAUUAGAUACCCGGGUAGUCCCAGCUGUAAACUAUGCAAACUCAGUGAUGCAUUGGCUUGUGGCCAAUGCAGUGCUGCAGGGAAGCCGUUAAGUUUGCCGCCUGGGAAGUACGUACGCAAGUAUGAUACUUA
rnacentral:rRNA from 1 species